CACUCGCGCCACACUAUGUAUACUGGGCGUCAGCCCGUGGCUGGCGCGACACCCCGCGCUGUUGGUCAGCGCGGCCACCGACUCGCUCUACCUGUUCAGGUGCUCACUCACUCGCGCCACACUAUGUAUACUGGGCGUCAGCCCGUGGCUGGCGCGACACCCCGCGCUGUUGGUCAGCGCGGCCACCGACUCGCUCUACCUGUUCAGGUGCUCACUCACUCGCGCCACACUAUGUAUACUGGGCGUCAGCCCGUGGCUGGCGCGACACCCCGCGCUGUUGGUCAGCGCGGCCACCGACUCGCUCUACCUGUUCAGGUGCUCACUCACUCGCGCCACACUAUGUAUACUGGGCGUCCCAAAGCUAUGGGACAUGAAGAGAAAGUACCUUAAAUACCGUAGAUAUGGUAUUUUACUGAAAGAAGACUUUGUUUUUUUUAAAAGUUAGUAAUUCUGCAUUCAAAGAUUUUCCAAAAAUUACUUGCCUCGUCUUCGAAUCGAACCGACUUAAAUGUAAAAAGAAACACUCCUAAUUUUAUAAUGCCAACUGAAAGAAUGGUACAGGCGGUACAUGCACUGUAGUCGGGUCUACUACUACUGACAUCUUAAAUUUUAGUUAAAGGUCAUCGAUGACGGUGAGCGAAUAUUAGAAUAGCACGGACGUUUCUCUGGCCAAGAAAAGAAGCAAAAGAGCGCAAAAAAAAAGAAAGCUGGGAGAGUUUCUUGAGCCGCUUCUUCUCUCUCAGAGCGCCAUUUGUUUCCGAAGCGGUAGUAGUAUCUAGUAUAUUAGAAAUGACAUCAAAAAUAAUUGUAAAGGAAUCAUUUUGAGAUAAUAAAUGCCUUUUAUGCCUUUAAGAGGACUACACGUAACUGUAAGAA